UGGGGAAUAUUGGACAAUGGGCGAAAGCCUGAUCCAGCAAUGCCGCGUGAGUGAUGAAGGCCUUAGGGUUGUAAAGCUCUUUUACCCGGGAUGAUAAUGACAGUACCGGGAGAAUAAGCCCCGGCUAACUCCGUGCCAGCAGCCGCGGUAAUACGGAGGGGGCUAGCGUUGUUCGGAAUUACUGGGCGUAAAGCGCGCGUAGGCGGCUUUGCAAGUCAGAGGUGAAAGCCCGGGGCUCAACCCCGGAAUUGCCUUUGAGACUGCAUCGCUAGAACGUCGGAGAGGUAAGUGGAAUUCCGAGUGUAGAGGUGAAAUUCGUAGAUAUUCGGAAGAACACCAGUGGCGAAGGCGACUUACUGGACGACUGUUGACGCUGAGGUGCGAAAGCGUGGGGAGCAAACA
rnacentral:rRNA from 1 species